GUGGGGAAUCUUAGACAAUGGGGGAAACCCUGAUCUAGUCAUGCCGCGUGAGCGAUGAAGGCCUUAGGGUUGUAAAGCUCUUUCAGCUGGGAAGAUAAUGACUGUACCAGCAGAAGAAGCCCCGGCUAACUCCGUGCCAGCAGCCGCGGUAAUACGGAGGGGGCUAGCGUUGUUCGGAAUUACUGGGCGUAAAGCGCACGUAGGCGGACCGGAAAGUCAGAGGUGAAAUCCCAGGGCUCAACCUUGGAACUGCCUUUGAAACUCCUGGUCUUGAGGUCGAGAGAGGUGAGUGGAAUUCCGAGUGUAGAGGUGAAAUUCGUAGAUAUUCGGAGGAACACCAGUGGCGAAGGCGGCUCACUGGCUCGAUACUGACGCUGAGGUGCGAAAGCGUGGGGAGCAAACAGGAUUAGAUACCCUAGUAGUCC
rnacentral:rRNA from 1 species